GGAAGAUGUGCAGCUGAAAAUAAUGUUAUAUUUUGUAUUAAUUUGCCUUUUUGUGCUUGUGUAAAUCCAGCUGGCACAAUGGGCCUCCUGAGCAUUUAACUAAUAGUGUGAUUAUCUCCAUUUCACUAAGGAAGAAGUUACCCCAGGGGAAGCAACGAAAGGUCCAAAAAUCUGGCUUCUAACAGCAGGGCCCGACUUCGAGAGAACAUCGCUUCCAACAUAUAUUCUGUGAACAUCAGCCAGGUUUGCUUUUUUUUGUGUGCAUAAAAUUCAGUGUGCAGCUUUCUAACCCAACACUCAACAGUAGCAGUUGGUUUUCUCCAAGGAUCAUGCAUGUAGAGAUAAUUACAGUGAGUUUCAGGAUCCUCUAUCUUCUUUAGCCAGUGGACUCUAUCUUAUGUCUCUAGAGAUGUGAAAACGCCACCAGAGACUGCUUGGUACUAUAUUGAGAGAAACCGCCUCUUCUGGAACAGCUGAUUUUUCAUCAAGGAUAAGCAUUUUUGUCGAACUACAACCCAUUUAAAAAGAGAUGGCAUGUAAUGUCAUAUGGAGUUAAAUGGGGUUUUUGAAUUGAUUCAGCUCAUAGCUCCUGAGGCCGUGCACAAAGGCCAGAUUUGAGGUAAAGCCUAGAUAUAAGCCCAGCUCUACCAUUUAUUCACUGAUAACUGUAGGUGAGUCCCAGAGUGUCUCUGAUCUGGUUCCCUCAUCAAUAAAGUGGGGGAUU
rnacentral:lncRNA from 1 species